rnacentral:misc_RNA from 1 species
AAUUAAUCGUCUUGCCACUUUCUGUAACAUGCAUAGUCACUUCAAACUGACCUAACAAAAUACUUAAGUGAACUAGGAGAAAGAGAAGACAAAGGCUGAGGAGGGGGAAAAAGAUAACGAUAGAAAUAAAUGAAAAGCACAAUAUGAAAAAAAAUCAUCCUUAUUCACAUUUCUUAGUUUAUGUAGUUCAUCAGUUAUUGUAGUAGAGGAUUUAAUACAAAUUAAAUUGUAAAGGAAUAGAACAUAACAACCAUGUGGCAAUUUCAUAAAUCCAACUCAGCAUUGGGACAAAAAGGAGGGGGGAGGGAGUUUAUAUACCUCUCUGGAAAGAACCUACGCUUUUAACUGCUUCUUUACAUAUAUCCAGAGUAAUUAAGAGACAGCUUCUCCUACUUCGUUGUGAAAGCUCAAUUUGAAAACAUGAAUAGAGCAUAGUCAAUCCAAAACCAAAAUUAUAUAAAACCAAUACAUUGAUUAUUACUCUCAAGGCUAAGUGAUCUUGUUUUUCCCCAGGUUCAUUACCCACAUGAACUUUAUAGAGAAUAGAUAAGUUCUACUAAUAGCAGAACGGCUUGUGUUCUUUUCAAAAACAAAAUGUAAAAAGGGGGCAUGACCAAGGUAAGGUAUUACUGGCAAGGAAUAUACAGGAAAAGCUAAAACAUGACAAAGCAAAAAAAAAAGAUGCUUCUUAUUUUACUUGAUAUGGUCUAAGGGUUUAACCUGAUUCCUACAUGAGGAGCCAGUGUGCAUGGAUCACAGAUUUCAACUAAAAAGUUUCCUUUUGAGACUAUCAGACUAACACCUUAUCUGAAUAUUUGGAAAGGCUUUCUUCUUGUGUUAUUAUCUUGUGCAGUUGGAAGUAGGUAUAUAAGAACCGCAUACUUCUUCACUUUAACUUUACCCAUCCAUCCUCUAAUUGAUUUUCACAUGUUAGUUCACAAUUUCUAAAAAUCUAAAUUUGCACAAUAGGGAAUUUCAGGGAGUAAUUGGGU